CGUGGGGAGCAAACAGGAUUAGAUACCCUGGUAGUCACGCUGUAAACGAUGUCGAUUUGGAGUUUGUUGCCUAGAGUGAUGGGCUCCGAAGCUAACGCGAUAAAUCGACCGCCUGGGGAGUACGGCCGCAAGGUUAAAACUCAAAUGAAUUGACGGGGGCCCGCACGAGCGGUGGAGCAUGUGGUUUAAUUCGAUGCAACGCGAAGAACCUUACCUGGUCUUGACAUCCAUAGAAUUCUGCAGAGAUGUGGGAGUGCCUUCGGGAACUAUGAGACAGGUGCUGCAUGGCUGUCGUCAGCUCGUGUUGUGAAAUGUUGGGUUAAGUCCCGCAACGAGCGCAACCCUUAUUCUUUGUUGCCAGCGAUUUGGUCGGGAACUCAAAGGAGACUGCCGUUGAUAAAGCGGAGGAAGGUGGGGACGACGUCAAGUCAUCAUGGCCCUUACGACCAGGGCUACACACGUGCUACAAUGGCGUAUACAAAGGGAAGCGAAGGUGCGAGCUGGAGCGGAUCUCAUAAAGUACGUCUAAGUUCGGAUUGGAGUCUGCAACUCGACUCCAUGAAGUCGGAAUCGCUAGUAAUCGUAGAUCAGAAUGCUACGGUGAAUACGUUCCCGGGCCUUGUACACACCGCCCGUCACACCAUGGGAGUGGGUUGCACCAGAAGUAGAUAGCUUAACCGCGAGGGGGGCGUUUACCACGGUGUGAUUCAUGACUGGGGUGAAGUCGUAACAAGGUAACCA
rnacentral:rRNA from 1 species